CAUAACCUGGUUGAUCCUGCCAGUAGCAUACGCUUGUCUCAAAGAUUAAGCCAUGCAUGUCUAAGUAUAAACGAAUUUAUACUGUGAAACUGCGAAUGGCUCAUUAUAUCAGUUAUAGUUUCUUUGAUGGUUCUUGCUACUUGGAUAACCGUAGUAAUUCUAGAGCUAAUACAUGCAUAAGGCCCCGAUUCUGGG
rnacentral:rRNA from 1 species